rnacentral:rRNA from 1 species
UGGGGAAUAUUGCACAAUGGAGGGAACUCUGAUGCAGCGACGCCGCGUGAACGAAGAAGGCUUUCGAGUCGUAAAGUUCUUUUAUAUGGGAAGAUAAUGACGGUACCAUAAGAAAAAGCCCCGGCUAACUACGUGCCAGCAGCCGCGGUAAUACGUAUGGGGCGAGCGUUGUCCGGAAUUAUUGGGCGUAAAGGGUACGUAGGCGGUUUUUUAAGUCAGGUGUCAAAGCGUGGAGCUUAACUCCAUUAAGCACUUGAAACUGAAAGACUUGAGUGAAGGAGAGGAAAGUGGAAUUCCUAGUGUAGCGGUGAAAUGCGUAGAUAUUAGGAGGAAUACCGGUGGCGAAGGCGACUUUCUGGACUUUUACUGACGCUCAGGUACGAAAGCGUGGGGAGCAAACAGG